rfam:Nomascus leucogenys chromosome 5, whole genome shotgun sequence.
GCUGGGCAUGGUGGCUCAUGCCUGUAAUCCCAACAAUUUGGGAGGCUGAGGUGGGCGGAUCACCUGAGGUCAGGAGUUCGAGACCAGCCUGGCCAACAUGGUGAAACCCCGUCUCUA